CCUACGGGAGGCAGCAGUGGGGAAUUUUGGACAAUGGGCGAAAGCCUGAUCCAGCAAUGCCGCGUGAGUGAAGAAGGCCUUCGGGUUGUAAAGCUCUUUUGUCAGGGAAGAAACGGUGUGGGCUAAUAUCCCGCACUAAUGACGGUACCUGAAGAAUAAGCACCGGCUAACUACGUGCCAGCAGCCGCGGUAAUACGUAGGGUGCAAGCGUUAAUCGGAAUUACUGGGUGUAAAGCGUGCGCAGGCGGUUUUGUAAGUUUGUCGUGAAAGCCCCGGGCUCAACCUGGGAAUUGCGAUGAAGACUGCAAGGCUUGAAUCUGGCAGAGGGGGGUAGAAUUCCACGUGUAGCAGUGAAAUGCGUAGAGAUGUGGAGGAACACCGAUGGCGAAGGCAGCCCCCUGGGUCAAGAUUGACGCUCAUGCACGAAAGCGUGGGGAGCAAACAGGAUUAGAUACCCUGGUAGUCCACGCCCUAAACGAUGUCUACUAGUUGUCGGGUUUUAAUAACUUGGUAACGCAGCUAACGCGUGAAGUAGACCGCCUGGGGAUACGGUCGCAAGAUUAAAACUCAAAGGAAUUGA
rnacentral:rRNA from 1 species